CCUACGGGGGGCAGCAGUGAGGAAUAUUGGUCAAUGGGCGCGAGCCUGAACCAGCCAAGUCGCGUGAGGGAUGACGGCCCUACGGGUUGUAAACCUCUUUUGCCGGGGAGCAACGGGCGCCACGUGUGGCGCCACUGAGAGUACCCGGAGAAAAAGCAUCGGAUAACUCCGUGCCAGCAGCCGCGGUAAUACGGAGGAUUCGAGCGUUAUACGGAUUUAUUGGGUUUAAAGGGUGCGUAGGCGGACCGUUAAGUCAGUGGUAAAAUUGAGGGGCUCAACCCCUUCCCGCCAUUGAAACUGGCGCUCUUGAGUGGAAGAGAGGUAUGCGGAAUGCGUGGUGUAGCGGUGAAAUGCAUAGAUAUCACGCAGAACCCCGAUUGCGAAGGCAGCAUGCCGGCUUCCGACUGACGCUGAAGCACGAAAGCGUGGGGAUCGAACAGGAUUAGAUACCCUAGUAGUC
rnacentral:rRNA from 1 species